AGAGAGAAGCAGGCUUUUUAAACCCUUGCUACAUAAGCCUUGUUAUCGCUCAAAUAGACCACUUGAGAUGGAAGUACAGACAGAUUUGGUGCUGAUGACAGCUCACCAGGACCCAGCUCUCCAUUCAGGUACAUUGAUAUGCAUAUUCACUCUACUGGAAAAAAAAUCAUCUCCUCUUCUACCCUGGGACACGGCUUUUGUAGGCUCCGGAAUCUGCUAUUUUAUACCCACCUGCUGGUACAAUAUAAGCAGCUGCAAUAGGCAUCAAGCUAUGAAAAGCUCUGAGGAGCACUAUUGCAGUGCGAAUUGCUUCCUUGCUCUGCACUGUUUGGUGAUUGUAAGAUGGAUUGCCAGAUUAGCACAGACACACAGUAUUUGUGU
rnacentral:lncRNA from 1 species